rnacentral:rRNA from 1 species
UGAGGAAUAUUGGUCAAUGGGCGGGGAGCCUGAACCAGCCAAGCCGCGUGAGGGAAUAAGGCCCUACGGGUCGUAAACCUCUUUUGUCGGGGAACAAAAGCGGGGACGUGUCCCCGUCUGCGUGUACCCGAAGAAAAAGCAUCGGCUAACUCCGUGCC